rnacentral:lncRNA from 1 species
GGGUGCAAUCAAGAGUUACACCAAAUAAGAGAAUCAAAAUGUAACCACAUGAAUCAUGCCAUUAAAGUUCACAAAAAGCUCACAAAAAGCAACCAAGGAUAGGAGGCCUAAACCUCUUGUCAAACAAAUGCAUCAAAAGGGUAUCAAAACUCAAAGUCAGGGGGCAAGGAUCCAUACAUCAAGACAUGACAUACCUGAUUGGGGAGGAUCGAUUGAAAUUGAAUUGCACCGUUGGCUUUGCAGAACAAUCUUAGGGUUUAUACGAGAGGGAAUUGGUUCUUUGCAGAUGAGUUCCCUUCAGUCUCUGGAGGUUGCUCUGAAUUAGUUAGAAUCUCUCUAGGGUUUUGUUCCAAGGAAACCUCAGAGUGUUUUCAGCUUUCACCAAUUCUCCUCCUCCUUUUUUUUCUUUUACUGAAAUUUCAGGAUUUAUAACUUGAUUUUCG